rnacentral:rRNA from 1 species
AGGGCACCACCAGGAGUGGAGCCUGCGGCUUAAUUUGACUCAACACGGGAAAACUCACCCGGCCCGGACACUGGAAGGAUUGACAGAUUGAGAGCUCUUUCUUGAUUCAGUGGGUGGUGGUGCAUGGCCGUUCUUAGUUGGUGGAGCGAUUUGUCUGGUUAAUUCCGAUAACGAACGAGACUCUAGCCUACUAAAUAGAUCGUUGGCUUACCAACGCCAAUGAGACUUCUUAGAGGGACAGGCGGCGAUUCAGCCGCACGAAACAGAGCAAUAACAGGUCUGUGAUGCCCUUAGAUGUCCGGGGCCGCACGCGCGCUACACUGAAGUGAUCAGCGUGCAUUCUCAGCCUACUCUGCCAAGAGUGGGAAACCCCAAUGAACCUUCUUCGUGAUUGGGAUAGGAGAUUGUAAUUAUUCUCCUUGAACGAGGAAUUCCCAGUAAGCGCGAGUCAUAAGCUCGCGUUGAUUACGUCCCUGCCCUUUGUACACACCGCCCGUCGCUACUACCGAUUGAAUGUUU